rnacentral:tRNA from 1 species
GCCGGGGUGGUGGAAUUGGUAGACACGCCAGGUUCAGGGUCUGGUGGAGCGAUCUGUGCGGGUUCGAAUCCCGCUCCCGGCA